rnacentral:misc_RNA from 1 species
AACCUAGCACACCUGCGGUGUGUACCUGCGGAAGGAUCAUUAACGAGUUAGGGUCGUUCUGGCCCGAACUUCCAACCCCUUGUUUAUCACACCAUGUUGCUUUGGUAGGCCCGCUCUCUUAGGGGGGCCGCCGGAGGUUAUCCUACCUCUAGCCCGUGCCUGCCAGUAGCCUUAUUAAAUUCUUUUUAACUGUGUCGUCUGAGUGGUAUUUUCAAAUCAUUUAAAACUUUUAACAAUGGA